rnacentral:misc_RNA from 1 species
GACGGAGGGUGCAAGCGUUGUCCGGAAUCAUUGGGUGUAAAGGGUGUGUAGGCGGGAGAGCAAGUCAGGGGUGAAAGCCCACGGCUUAACCGUGGAAUUGCCUUUGAUACUGCUUUUCUUGAGUCCCGGAGAGGCCGCUGGAAUUCGUGGUGUAGCGGUGAAAUGCGUAGAUAUCACGAGGAACACCAGUUGCGUAGGCGGGUGGCUGGACGGGAACUGACGCUGAGGCACGAAAGCGUGGGGAGCAAACAGG